AACGGGGGGAACUAGUGUUAUUCGCAUUGACUGGGCGUAAAGGGCGCGUAGAUGGUUUAAUAAGUUUUGUUGAAGAGCAUACGGCUAAACCGGUUGGGGCAACAAAAAUACUGUUAGGCUUGAAUAGAGUGGAGGUUAGUGGUAUUUAACGUAGACUUGGGGUGAAAUCCGUACACACGUUGGAGACUACCAGCUUGCGGAGGCGACUAUUCCACAACCUAUUGACGUUGAGGCGCAAAAGCGUAGGGAGCAAACAGG
rnacentral:rRNA from 1 species